rnacentral:rRNA from 1 species
UGGGGAAUAUUGGACAAUGGGGGGAACCCUGAUCCAGCCAUGCCGCGUGUGUGAAGAAGGCCUUAUGGUUGUAAAUCACUUUAAGCGAGGAGGAGGGUACUGGUAUUAAUACUACCAGCUACUGGACGUUACUCGCAGAAUAAGCACCGGCUAACUCUGUGCCAGCAGCCGCGGUAAUACAGAGGGUGCGAGCGUUAAUCGGAUUUACUGGGCGUAAAGCGUGCGUAGGCGGCUAAUUGAGUCGGAUGUGAAAUCCCCGAGCUUAACUUGGGAAUUGCAUUCGAUACUGGUUAGCUAGAGUGUGGGAGAGGAUGGUAGAAUUCCAGGUGUAGCGGUGAAAUGCGUAGAGAUCUGGAGGAAUACCGAUGGCGAAGGCAGCCAUCUGGCCUAACACUGACGCUGAGGUACGAAAGCAUGGGGAGCAAACAGG